UGGGCGCAGGAAAUUUGAGAGGAGCUGUCCUUAGUACGAGAGGACCGGGAUGGACGCACCGCUGGUGUACCAGUUGUCUUGCCAAAGGCAUCGCUGGGUAGCUAUGUGCGGAAGGGAUAAGUGCUGAAAGCAUCUAAGCAUGAAGCCCCCCUCGAGAUGAGAUUUCCCAUCACGUAWGUGAGUAAGAUCCCUAGAAGAUGACUAGGUAGAUAGGUCAGAGAUGGAAGCAUGGCGACAUGUGGAGUUGACUGAUACUAAUCGAUCGAGGACUUAACCACA
rnacentral:rRNA from 1 species